CAGAAAUGGAAACGUAAUAAUCAGUUUGAUUAACACAAAGCAAAUCCUUUUUUUCAUUUUCAAUAAUUUCUUCAACGAGGGGAAAUCUUUCCCAUUCGAUUUCUCGUUUGCUAUGCUUAGAGAGGGAAAGAGAAGUUUUGAAGAAGGAAGGGCCUCUCUUUCUUUGUUAUCCUCGAUUUUGUGAAAUCAAUGGAUGCAAAACCAAAGAGAAGAACUGUUGUAGAAAAUGGGGAUGGGGGAGAGGUUUUAGUCCUUGCAACUUUAAUUGGCAAUGGAGAUGAUGUGGGUCCCAUUGUCAGGCAUGCGUUUGAAAUGGGAAGGCCUGAAGCACUCCUUCACCAGCUCAAGAUUGUUGUCAGGAAGAAGGAAGCUGAAAUUGAAGACCUCUGCAAGAGCCAUUAUGAGGAAUUCAUUCUUGCAGUUGAUGAGCUUCGUGGUGUCUUGGUUGAUGCUGAAGAGCUUAAAAGUGAGCUUGCAAGUGACAACUUUAGGUUGCAGGAGGUAGGGAGUGGACUUUUGAUCAAACUUGAGGAACUUCUUGAAUCUUAUUCAAUCAAGAAAAAUGUGACUAAAGCUAUUAAAAUGUCAAAGAUUUGUCUUCAAGCUUUGGAACUUUGUGCUAAGUGUAACAAUCACAUGUCUGAGGGCCAGUUUUACCCUGCAUUGAAAACAGUGGAUCUGAUUGAGAAGAGUUACUUGCUGAAUAUCCCUGUGAAGACACUUAGAAUGACAAUAGAAAAGACAAUUCCUGUGAUAAAAUCACAUAUUGAGAAAAAAGUGACUAGUCAAUUUAAUGAAUGGCUAGUUCAUGUGAGAAGUUCUGCAAAGAAUAUUGGGAAAACAGCAAUAGGUCAUGCUGCAUCAGCUCGUCAGAGGGAUGAGGAGAUGCUUGAACAUCAGAGGAAAUCUGAGGAACAGAAUGUUUCGGGCUUAGGAGAUUUUGUAUACACUUUAGAUGUUGAGGAACUGGAUGAAGAUUCUGUUUUGAAGUUCGAUCUUACUCCUUUUUAUCGGGCAUAUCACAUCCACUCUAGCCUUGGAAUCCAUGAGCAGUUUCGUGAAUAUUACUAUAGGAAUCGGCUACUGCAGCUGAAUUCAGAUCUGCAAAUCUCUUCUUCUCAACCAUUUCUUGAAUCGUAUCAAUCAUUUUUCGCGCAAAUUGCAGGUUACUUUAUAUUGGAGGACCGGCUGUUGAGGACUGGUGGUGGUGUUCUGUUAGCAGAUCAGGUUGAGACCAUGUGGGAUACUGCUGUAACUAAAAUAACUUCUGUUUUGGAGGAACAGUUUUCUCGUAUGGAUUCUGCUACUCAUCUUCUUCUGGUGAAGGAUUAUGUAACUCUUCUUGGUGCAACUCUUAGACAAUAUGGGUAUGAAGUAGGCCAAAUUCUUGAUGCACUGGACAACAGCCGGGACAAGUACCAUGAACUUCUUCUGGGAGAGUGUCGGGAGCAAAUUGUUAACAUUCUUGGCAAUGACACCUAUGAGCAGAUGGUAAUGAAAAAGGAUACUGAUUAUGAGAAUAAUGUCUUGUCCUUCCAUCUCCAGACCUCAGAUAUAAUGCCAGCUUUUCCAUAUAUUGCUCCAUUCUCCUCUAUGGUACCAGAUACUUGUCGUAUUGUUAGAUCAUUCAUCAAAGGAUCUGUUGAUUACUUGUCUUAUGGGGUGCAUACUAAUUUUUAUGAUGUUGUGAAAAAGUAUUUGGAUAAGCUUUUGAUUGAUGUGUUAAAUGAAGUUAUACUGAGUACUAUUCAUAGUGGUGCAGUUGGUGUCUCCCAAGCCAUGCAGAUUGCUGCAAAUAUAUCUGUUCUUGAAAGAGCUUGUGAUUUUUAUCUUCGACAUGCAGCCCAACUAUGUGGUAUCCCAGCCCGAUCAGUUGAAAGACCUCAUGCCAGUUUGACUGCCAAGGUGGUUCUGAGAACUUCUAAGGAUGCGGCAUAUCUGGCUCUGCUGAAUUUGGUGAACACUAAAUUGGAUGAGUUUAUGGCACUUACUGAAAAUAUCAAUUGGAUUUCAGAGGAGCCAUUGCAAAAUGGGAAUGAGUAUAUAAAUGAGGUGGUAAUAUACCUUGACACUAUUCUUUCAACAGCACAGCAAAUUCUACCUGUGGAUGCUCUAUACAAGGUUGGAAGUGGAGCUUUUGAGCAUAUUUCCAAUUCCAUUGUUGCUGCAUUUCUCAGUGAUAGCGUUAAGAGGUUCAAUGCUAAUGCAGUUCUGGCCCUUAAUGAUGACCUAAAGAUAUUAGAGAAUUUCGCUGAUGAGAGAUUUCGCAACACUGGCCUGAGUGAGAUAUAUAAAGAUGGUAGUUUUAGAGGUUUCUUGAUAGAAGCAAGACAAUUGAUUAAUCUUUUGUCUAGCAGCCAACCAGAGAACUUCAUGAAUCCUGUGAUAAGACAGAAAAACUAUAAUGCUCUGGAUUAUAAGAAAGUAGCCAGCGUCUGUGAGAAAUUCAAGGAUUCUCCUGAUGGAAUCUUUGGUAGCCUUUCAAGCAGAAAUACAAAGCAAAGUGCACGAAAGAAAUCAAUGGAUGUACUGAAGAAAAGAUUGAAGGACUUCAACUGAGGAGGUUCAUAAAAUGUCACCCAGGAUUAGUAGAUCUGUGUUAUUCCGAUCCCUGUGUUAUUCCGAUCCCACCCCUCCCCUAUCACCCCAUUUUGAGUUGCACAUUCCCAUUUUCCUUUGUUGACAAUUUGAAGGUAAUGGAGUUUUCAAUUUUCUGUUGAUUAAAUUCUUAUAAUGAAGCUUUAAUAUUUCCCUUCAACUCUGAUAUCAAGGGUGUCUUCUCAGUGAAAACUAUAUUGCUUCUGCAUCUUAUGCAUGCAUCUCCUUUCUUAUAUUGGAGAAAAGUAGGUGAAUAUAUGUCGAGUCCAAUUGCUUUAAGAAGGACCAGAUGCUUCUGCAUUUGCUCUUUGACAAUCUUACUAAUUUGGUUUUUUUUUCCCCCUUUCUUGGCCCCCCUAUAUUUGGUGGUUGUAUGGGGAAAGAAUUUGCAAUAUACUUAUUGUUCUUUUAUCAUUUAUUUCAGC
rnacentral:misc_RNA from 1 species